CCUACGGGAGACAGCAGUGGGGAAUAUUGCACAAUGGGGGAAACCCUGAUGCAGCGACGCCGCGUGAGUGAAGAAGUACUUCGGUAUGUAAAGCUCUAUCAGCAGGGAAGAAAAUGACGGUACCUUAUUAAUAAGCCCCGGCUAACUACGUGCCAGCAGCCGCGGUCAUACGUAGGGGGCAAGCGUUAUCCGGAUUUACUGGGUGUAAAGGGGGCGUAGACGGCGGCGCAAGUGUGAAGUGAAAUCCCAUGGCUUAACCAUGAGACUGCUUUGGAAACUGUGAAGCUGGAGUGCAGGAGGGGCAAGCGGAAUUCCUAGUGUAGCGGUGAAAUGCGUAGAUAUUAGGAGGAACACCAGUGGCGAAGGCGGCUUACUGGACUGUAACUGACGUUGAGGCUCGAAAGCGUGGGGAGCAAACGGGAUUAGAUACCCGAGUAGUC
rnacentral:rRNA from 1 species